CCUACGGGAGGCAGCAGUAGGGAAUUUUGCGCAAUGGGCGAAAGCCUGACGCAGCAACGCCGCGUGAGCGAGACGCCCUUCGGGGUGUAAAGAUCUGUCAGUGGGGACGAAACUUGACGGUACCUACAGAGGAAGCACCGGCUAACUCCGUGCCAGCAGCCGCGGUAAUACGGGGGGUGCAAGCGUUGUCCGGAAUCAUUGGGCGUAAAGAGGUCGUAGGCGGCAAGGAAAGCCUGGAGUGAAAGCCCGGGGCUCAACGCCUGUACGGCGCUGGGGACUUCGGGGCUGGAGGGCAGGAGUGGCAGGCGGAAGUCCUGGUGUAGCGGUGAAAUGCGUAGAUAUCAGGAGGA
rnacentral:rRNA from 1 species